rnacentral:rRNA from 1 species
CAAUAGCGUAUAUUAAAGUUGUUGCGGUUAAAAAGCUCGUAGUUGGAUUUCUGUUGGGAACGACCGGUCCGCCCAUUGGGUGUGUAUCUGGCUUGUUCUCGGCAUCUUCUUGGUGAACGUUGCUGCACUUGACUGUGUGGAGCGCUACCCAGGACUUUUACUUUGAGGAAAUUAGAGUGUUUCAAGCAGGCAUAUGCCUUGAAUACAUUAGCAUGGAAUAAUAAGAUAGGACCUCGGUUCUAUUUUGUUGGUUUCUAGAGCUGAGGUAAUGAUUAAUAGGGAUAGUUGGGGGCAUUCGUAUUUAACUGUCAGAGGUGAAAUUCUUGGAUUUGUUAAAGACGGACUACUGUGAAAGCAUUUGCCAAGGAUGUUUUCAUUGA